CCUACGGGGGGCUGCAGUGGGGAAUAUUGGACAAUGGGGGGAACCCUGAUCCAGCCAUGCCGCGUGUGUGAAGAAGGCCCUCGGGUUGUAAAGCACUUUCAGUGAGGAAGAACGCCUGGUGGUUAAUACCCAUCAGGAAAGACAUCACUCACAGAAGAAGCACCGGCUAACUCCGUGCCAGCAGCCGCGGUAAUACGGAGGGUGCGAGCGUUAAUCGGAAUUACUGGGCGUAAAGCGCGCGUAGGUGGCUUGAUAAGCCGGUUGUGAAAGCCCCGGGCUCAACCUGGGAACGGCAUCCGGAACUGUCAAGCUAGAGUGCAGGAGAGGAAGGUAGAAUUCCCGGUGUAGCGGUGAAAUGCGUAGAGAUCGGGAGGAAUACCAGUGGCGAAGGCGGCUUUCUGGACUGACACUGACACUGAGGUGCGAAAGCGUGGGUAGCAAACAGGAUUAGAUACCCGGGUAGUC
rnacentral:rRNA from 1 species